UCUGGGACAGCCCGGGUUCAGGGUGUGAUGAAGGGCGGCGCACUGGGGAGGCUGCCCCGCACCUGCGAGAGCGCGAGGGGUGGGGACUGUGGUCUCAGAGUUAAUCAGGAGGUUUCGGAAGAAUUCUUUUUUUUUUUCAACUGUCUUCUACCAGGACUUUCUGAUUUUCCUGGUUCCCGAAUCCCCACAUCUCGACAACACAGCUCCAUCCCCAUCCCCGAGAACCUCGAUCUUUGACCCGCCAGUAGGGGGUCGGAACCGUAUACAGCGAGUGCAUUAGUGUCCACGCACAUCUGUCUGUGGAAUGUGUGCAUCCGCAUGUCCCGAGGGGCUACUGUGUCUCUAGGAUGGGAGUGAGUGUGUGCCCUGUGUGUUAGUGCUGACUCCAUCAGAACUUCUGGUCCCUCCUCCUCCCUCCCUGAUUGCAUCAUUAGUGCUAAUUGAGGGGCUUUCACACGCCAGUGCAUUAGCUGUUUGGAGUGAGCUCCCCCCUCCUGCGAGAUAAGCUGCCGCCCCUCCCCCUCGUGGCUCUCCACUUCCCUAGGGCACUGAAACUGUCCACCGAGGUCGUCUCACUUCCUCAGGCUCCCUCCUGCUUUGCUCUGGGCAGGAAAAAGUUAUCUCUCUUCCUGCAGUGCCGUGGAUUCGGCUGGAGCGACGGCAUAUGGGGUAAAAUUUAGGGGCUGGAGAAAGAAUCCAGAGCCGCCUUUCUGAGGGGCUUUCUAGGAAGGAGGGGUUUUCCCUCAAGAGGUCUCCUGUUCCUAUCCAACGCAGGGAGGAACUCUGUGACAGGGAAUAAAACUUGCGGCUAGCUCUUUUGGAAGUUCAGCCUGUGAUCGCACUGAGUUCUACAGUGUCUACUCAAGAAGUGUGAGGACCAGCUAGCUACCAUGCCCAGGAGAGGUUUGACUUCUGGCGGUUUCACCUCUGAUGGCUGCACAACCAAACACUGUGUAUGUGUGUGGCAUAUUUCUUGAAAAGCUUUCUUCAGAUCCUCUGCAUGUUCAUGUCUCGGAGAAGCGUCCGUGGGGAAGGAUUUGGCAUCGUGAGUGUACAGCUCAGAGUUGGUGAAUAGAAUGUGAACAUUGUUAACUUCAUUACACAUCAUGUAGGUAUUAUAAUAACAUGUUCUGAAAUUAGAUAAUUAUUCCUGUGAUAUCUCUGCCAAGCUUUGGUGUUUCUGUUAUGGUUUGAAAGUUCAGUGCACAACAGGGCCAGAGAAAUAGGCACCAGUGUUCGCCUGGUGCCUACCCAGAACCCCGAAAGCAGGGUCCUCAUGUAGAGAAACAGCGACCCUUCAGUUGUAUUGACUCACAUUUACUGUUUCCCUCAGCCCCCAGGGAGACACAUAGACAUCAAGACAUGCAUGCUCAGCCACAGAAAUAGGAUUUUUGCUCCUAAAAGGAAGAGAUCAAAGCUUUGAACCAAUUAGAGUUUCUGAAUUGACAGACUUUAACCAAUUUUUGAUUGUUUGC
rnacentral:lncRNA from 1 species